CAUACUACGGUGAAUACGUUCCCGGGUCUUGUACACACCGCCCGUCACACCACGAAAGUUGGGGGUACCCGAAGCGACCUAUUUUGGGUUCUAAGGUAAACUCAGCGAUUGGGGUG
rnacentral:rRNA from 1 species